CCGGCCGCGGUUUGGCUGGGGCUGGUGGCUCCCGGAGGGGCUGCGGGGCUAAUCCGGGCUAAUCCUGCACUGGCCCCGUGCCCGGGCGGGGGCACCUUCCCCCAGCCAGCCCCCCCCCGGCCCCCCAGCCCGGCCGACUGGUGCCAGCUGCCUUCAUAAGGGACGGGGCCCAGCCUGGCCUCAUCACCCCUGGGCUGCCACCCCCCGACAUCCCCGGGGACGAUGAAGCUCUGGGCUCUCCUGGCGCUGGCAGGGCUCGCCUGCAGCCUGGCUGCUGGCUUGCCGACCGACGUGACGCCUUCCGCGGGCACCGAUGCCGUGGGAAGGGACCGGGCUUCCGAAGGAGCGCUGGUGGACGCCACCGACCUGCUGGAGCGCCUCCUGAGGUCCCUGGGGGACACCCUGGCGGGGGCGGUGCGGCUGAUUUUUGGGGGCAAAAAGGGUG